CCCUUAGAUGUUCUGGGCCGCACACGCGCUACACUGAAGGAGGCAGCGUGUACUCCUGGAUCGAAAGAUUUGGGUAACCCGCGAAUCUCCUUCGUGCUAGGGAUUGAGGUUUGCAAUUAUCCUUCAUGAACGAGGAAUUCCCAGUAAGUGCAAGUCAUAAGCUUGCGCUGACUACGUCUCUGCCCUUUGUACACACCGCCCGUCGCUACUACCGAUUGAAUGAUUUAGUGAGGACUUCGGACUGGGACCGAUGCGGCUUUCGGGCUGCGUCGGUAUUCUGGAAAGAUGUCCAAACUGUAUCAUUUAGAGGAAGUAAAAGUCGUANCA
rnacentral:rRNA from 1 species